GUUGAAACACCGAUUCUCGUACGAUCGUCGAAGUUAAACAACAUCGAGCCUUGUCAAUACCUCGGUGGGUGACCGCUUGGGAAUACCAUGC